AUAGCUAAGACAGGAUAAUUGAAGUUGUCGCUCGGUGGCCUGGAUCGACACACGAUUCACGCAUAUUGACCAACAGCGGUCUCUACCAGUUGUUCGACCGUUAUGUUGUCCCCAUCGGAUGCCACCUUCUCGGCGACAGAGGUUACCCCUGUAAGAAGUGGCUACUAACCCCUUUCCUAAGACCAUUGGCAGGACCACAAACAAACUACAACAGAUCGCAUAAAAGAACAAGGAGCAGUGUUGAAAGGUCCAUUGGCCAAUUCAAGCGCAGAUUUCCUGUUCUUCAUGGGGAAAUCAGGUUAAAACCUGAGAAGGCUUGCAAGGUGAUCAUAGCAUGUGCUGUCCUUCACAACAUAUGCAAGGAUAGAAACAUUCCAUUACCACCCACAGAUGGGCAUGAUGGAGUUGGAAGGCAUGAUGGGCAGAAUGGAGGUCUACCAGGAAUCACUACACCAGUGGCUGUACUGAGAUAUAGAGAGCACUUCGCCAAUACAAACUUUCCAUAGCUUCCACUGUGUGGCAUCUUGGAGCAUCUGGAUGGACUGCUGGCUCCUCAGGACCCAUUCUGGCUCCCUCUGGCUGUGGAUGGGGGU
rnacentral:lncRNA from 1 species